rnacentral:rRNA from 1 species
UACAGAGGAGCCAAGCGUUGUCCGGAUUGACUGGGCGUAAAGCGCACGCAGGCGGUUGCGCGCGUGGGGUGUGAAAUCUGGCCGCUUAACGGCCAGGCGCCAUCCCAUACGGCGCGACUGGAGUGAUGCAGAGGUCGAUGGAAUUGCCGGUGUAGUGGUGAAAUGCGUAGAUAUCGGGAGGGAACACCGGUCGGCGAAAGGGCGGCCCCCCUGGGUUUGGAUACUGACGCUGAGACGCGAAAGCGUGGGGAGCGAACAGG